rnacentral:rRNA from 1 species
UGGUUGCUGUGGGUGGAAUGUGUGGUGUAGCGGUGAAAUGCUUAGAGAUCACACAGAAUAUCGAUUGCGAAGGCACCUCACAAAGCCAAGAUUGACGCUGAGGCACGAAAGUGUGGGGAUCAAACAGGAUUAGAUACCCUGGUAGUCCACACUGUAAACGAUGAUAACUCGCUGUCGGCGAUAUACAGUCGGUGGCCAAGCGAAAGCGAUAAGUUAUCCACCUGGGGAGUACGACCGCAAGGUUUAAACUC